rnacentral:rRNA from 1 species
GAUGAACGCUAGCUACAGGCUUAACACAUGCAAGUCGAGGGGUAACGAGAGGAAAGCUUGCUUUCCUUGUCGACGACCGGCGCACGGGUGAGUAACGCGUAUCCAACCUGCCCCCAACUAGGGAAUAACCUUGCGAAAGUAAGACUAAUACCCUAUAAUAUCAUCAGAUGUCAUCUGACGAGGAAUAAAGAUUUAUCGGUUGUGGAUGGGGAUGCGUCUGAUUAGCUUGUUGGCGGGGUAACGGCCCACCAAGGCAACGAGCAGUAGGGGUUCUGAGAGGAAGGUCCCCCACAUUGGAACUGAGACACGGUCCAAACUCCUACGGGAGGCAGCAGUGAGGAAUAUUGGUCAAUGGGCGGAAGCCUGAACCAGCCAAGUAGCGUGCAGGAUGACGGCCCUAUGGGUUGUAAACUGCUUUUAUACAGGAAUAAAGUUAGCCACGUGUGGUUAUUUGUAGGUACUGUAUGAAUAAGGACCGGCUAAUUCCGUGCCAGCCGCCGCCGUAA